rnacentral:misc_RNA from 1 species
UUGAUAAUUGAUCUUAUCAUCUCAUCAACUUUUCAUCCAUUGACUUCUGCUCUUUCCGUAGUUUCUAUUCCAUGUAAAGAAUGUAAAUAUGAAGAUAAUUGCUAGGCUUUCAAGAGACUGAAGCCAAUGCAAUUGGGUUUUGUAAGUUAAAUUAAUCAAAAUUUGGUUCUAUUAGCAGUCUGAACCUUGCAAUCAUAAUCAACUGAACAUAUUUCUGGGCAAAAGCACAAAAAAGUAACGUGUGGCUUGGGCCAUUUUCGAGUAGAGUCCUGUGGUUUGGGUUUUGACAAACCAGGACCCUACUUGAAAAUGCCCUAAACCAUGGGUACUUUUUUGGUACUUCCGCUAUAUUUUUUUGGGCAUGUUUCUUGAUCUAGCGUCAUACAAAUCUUAUUCAAGAAAUGGCUUAUGAUUGGAAUAUAUACUAUGAUAUUAUCGCAUAUUCCCAUUGCUUUAUGAUUUAAGAUACUGUGAAAGCAAUCUGAACCUUUGCUAUCUUAAUCAACUGAAUUUAUUUUUUGGGUAUGUUUCUUUAUCUAGUGUAAUAAAAAUCUUAUUCAAGACAACAGUUUGCUAUGAAACUAGAUUAGCAUUUAUAGAAAUUAUAUGUGAAAGAAAAAGGGAAACAAAGCAAGGGGGAUACAGUUGAAGUUAAAGCCUGGUGGACAACCUUAUCUUCCUGCCAAAGCAACAAAAUGAGUUAUUGUUUUCAUGGACAAUUUCAUUCAAACAGCAUCCAUUGCACAUCCUCGUAAUUUUAUAUAUGGAUGAGGCAUUGGAAAUAAUCUUGUGCCCUUUAAUGUGUAUCAUAUGUUUCCUUUUUUGUGCCUUGCACAUUCUGCAUCAAUUUGAUAAUACAUAUAUGAUAUUCUGUGUUGUUUGGAUUAUUUUUAGUCAUUAAUCAUUUCCCCUUUGAACUCAUGAAGGUGAGGAAGGAGAAAUCCAUCUA